rnacentral:rRNA from 1 species
GGUAGUCCACGCCGUAAACGAUGUCGACUUGGAGGUUGUUCCCUUGAGGAGUGGCUUCCGGAGCUAACGCGUUAAGUCGACCGCCUGGGGAGUACGGCCGCAAGGUUAAAACUCAAAUGAAUUGACGGGGGCCCGCACAAGCGGUGGAGCAUGUGGUUUAAUUCGAUGCAACGCGAAGAACCUUACCUACUCUUGACAUCCAGCGAACUUUCCAGAGAUGGAUUGGUGCCUUCGGGAACGCUGAGACAGGUGCUGCAUGGCUGUCGUCAGCUCGUGUUGUGAAAUGUUGGGUUAAGUCCCGCAACGAGCGCAACCCUUAUCCUUUGUUGCCAGCGAUUCGGUCGGGAACUCAAAGGAGACUGCCGGUGAUAAACCGGAGGAAGGUGGGGAUGACGUCAAGUCAUCAUGGCCCUUACGAGUAGGGCUACACACGUGCUACAAUGGCGCAUACAAAGAGAAGCGACCUCGCGAGAGCAAGCGGACCUCACAAAGUGCGUCGUAGUCCGGAUCGGAGUCUGCAACUCGACUCCGUGAAGUCGGAAUCGCUAGUAAUCGUGGAUCAGAAUGCCACGGUGAAUGCGUUCCCGGGCCUUGUACACACCGCCCGUCACACCAUGGGAGUGGGUUGCAAAAGAAGUAGGUAGCUUAACCUUCGGGAGGGCGCUUACCACUUUGUGAUUCAUGACUGGGGUGAAGUCGUAACAAGGUAACCGUAGGGGAACCUGC